UGAAUACUAAGAUCAAACAGUAGGAAAAAAAAUGAUUUAAUUUCGGGGUCUUUUCAUUUUAAUUGAAACGGGGUCUUUUCAUCCGCGAGCCCCUUGUUUUGACAACAACUUCGAUUUACUUUGGCGAUCCCCUCGGGGUUGUUGUUUUUUUCGCAUGUUUAUGUUUUUGUUUUGAUCGGAGGCAGCGCAGCAUGCAGGAUACGAUAAAGCGGAAAACGCAGCUAAUGCUGUUCCGGAUCCGCAUUACGGGAAACAAUUCGGGUGCACCGAUGACUCCUAGGACUCUAUCGUCAAGAUAAUGAUUGCAGAUCGCGAAGCAAUUCGAUUGCAGAUCGCGAACAUUCUGGUGAGCGUGAGCUUUGCCGAUGGAAGUUGAAAAGCCAAGAAAAAGAAAUCCCGCAGUAAGAAGGGAAAUGGAGAAAAAAAACAAAGACGACCUUAAAAACAUAACGAACCGCUAGAGUACCCAUCAACGAGUUAACGGAAGAAGCACAAAGUGGACGAAUACAUCAAACCGGUGGCAAUAAUUGAUUUGAAACAAUAACCCGGAAGACAGCUGAUUUCCAGUCCCGAGGUUAUGUAAGAGCACCUCGUUCUCAUCGUGAUUGCACCAAUAAGAGAUCAAGCGGUCUGUUAAUGGUCAAAUCGAACGCUUCUCUGGAACCGGUGCCGAAAUUACCAGAAUCCUAUGUUCCCUUCGAGCCGACUUAGUCUCCGACUUAAUCGCCAGGUUACGGACACAAUAUGGGUAGCACAUUGACGAUUAUCUAUCCGGAGAAGCAUCAGCAACAACACUGUCCCACCAGUAUCUGCGAGGUGCACAGGAUUCUCAACAGUGCCGUCAGCGUCCUCGACCUGCAUCCGACAUCUCCGAUGGAUCAUCACUCACCGCGAGGACCGAUCUUCGCCGAUUAAAUCGAUUCGCGUUCCUGUCACGGUUACCUCUGGUGUCAUGGUACCAGGGACGUCAAUUGGUAUUUCGACCUUCUGCGGCGAAAAUGUGAACAAGUAGAUUAUUACUUAAUUUCGUUACUGCAGUUUUUGUCACUUGAUAGUCUAAAUAAAUAUGGGGCGGUGGGUAGGGAGAUUGUGGUUAUAUUUAGCAAUGUGGAACUAACCGAAGAUACCAAAGCCACAUUAACAUUUUAACGGAUUGCAUCAUAAAGUGAAAUUCUUUGGUAAUAUUUUCUUAGUAAGAAUGUACUGAGGCUUUUUCGGUUCCCAAUGCUAGGUGAAAGUUAGGACGUACUUAAGCUUUUUCGGUUCACCAUGUCCUCCUAAUGCAAGGUGAAGCAAAUGAUGUUGGAACAUACUUAAGCUUUUUCGGUUCACCAUGUCCUCUUAAUGCAAGGUGAAGCAAAUAAAGUUACGACGUACUUAAGCUUUUUAGGUUCACCAUGUCCUCCUAAUGCAAGGUGAAGCAAAUGAUGUUGGAACAUGCUUAAGCUUUUUCGGUUCACCAUGUCCUCUAAAUGCAAGGUGAAGCAGAUA